rnacentral:rRNA from 1 species
UACGGAGGAUGCAAGCGUUAUCCGGAAUGAUUGGGCGUAAAGCGUCCGCAGGUGGCUAUGUAAGUCUGCUGUUAAAGAGUGAGGCUCAACCUCAUAAGAGCAGUGGAAACUACAUGGCUAGAGUGCGUUCGGGGCAGAGGGAAUUCCUGGUGUAGCGGUGAAAUGCGUAGAGAUCAGGAAGAACACCGGAGGCGAAAGCGCUCUGCUAGGCCGCAACUGACACUCAUGGACGAAAGCUAGGGGAGCGAAUGGG